rnacentral:lncRNA from 1 species
GAGCCUGCAAGGGUAGUGAUGCAGGUAUCUUAAGUGAGAUGCUGUUGGGGGGGGGAGACGGUCUUGUGGCUCCUUCUGCCCUGGCUUUAGGCGAUCAUGUCUGGAAAGAGGACCCACCACCAGAGAAGCAACUCUUUCUGAAAAAUCAGCGCCCACUGCCGGAGACCCUCCUGCAGAGGAAAGCGUCCAGGGCCGCCUCUUCCUCCCCGGCAGUGACUUCUGCGGCAGAACCUGUGCGCCAUCCCGGCUUCCUUCCCUCUGGCCGUUUCUUCCAGGAGCCAUGAGAUCCCCAGAGCCCAAGGGCCGCACCUGGGCCUCGUGGCUGCAUUGCAUUCAGCGGGACCUGCAGAGCAAGAGCACCAAGGAAGUGCGCGCCGCCUCCCUCCAACUGGCCAAGGUGGUCAGCCGCGCAUUGCGCUCCAAGGAAAUGGUGCCCUUCCUGCGCUCCUUGCUGGAGCAACUGAGGACCGUGAACGCCGCCUGCGACCAGGCCGUCCUUUGGUGGUUCGAGGUGGCCGCCAGGGAGCGAGGGACUGAUCUGAAGGACAAGGUAAGGCCAGGUGUAUGAAGGCCCCUCUGCAGGCCAGGUAAGGAAAGACCACCGGCCAGGGAUCUGAAGGUGACGACCCCCAGCUUAGGCAAAGGCCACCAAGAGCGGAGAGGGGAGGAGGAAACCUGUUAAUGUUUCCAUGGGUUUGAUCCUCAGGUGGGGCUGAAGGAAGCAUCAGCCGCUUCGUUGGUCUCGGGAUUUUGUCGACAGGAGCAAACAGGAACAGAAAGGCUGAGCUUUCCUCUCUUCUCCCUCCCAGGUCCGGGGUUUGGUGGCGGUCCUUUGCUCCUCCCUGCAGUGGGCCGAGGACCCCUCCCUGUGGCGCUCCUUGGCCCAGGCCCUCUGCGUGUUGGCGGAGCACCACUCUCGAGGGGUCUGUGCCUCCCUGGUGGAGCAGCCCCUUCUCCAGCCCAGGUGGGUGCAGGUGACCCCAAGGGCCCGGCCCUGCCAGGGGGCAGAGGGAGGCGGAGGCUUCAGGCAGCUCCCCCCCCCCGGGGCAGCCAGAAAGGGGUAGCCCACGGCUCAUCGGCUCAUCCAGGAUGGUUGUGGGUGGUUGUUUGCUUGUUCUAAAUCCAUU